UACGUAGGGUGCGAGCGUUAAUCGGAAUUACUGGGCGUAAAGCGUGCGCAGGCGGUUAUGUAAGACAGGUGUGAAAUCCCCGGGCUCAACCUGGGAACUGCAUUUGUGACUGCAUAGCUAGAGUACGGUAGAGGGGGAUGGAAUUCCGCGUGUAGCAGUGAAAUGCGUAGAUAUGCGGAGGAACACCGAUGGCGAAGGCAAUCCCCUGGACCUGUACUGACGCUCAUGCACGAAAGCGUGGGGAGCAAACAGG
rnacentral:rRNA from 1 species